AUUGAACGCUGGCGGCAUGCCUUACACAUGCAAGUCGAACGGUAACAGGUCUUCGGAUGCUGACGAGUGGCGAACGGGUGAGUAAUACAUCGGAACGUGCCUAGUAGUGGGGGAUAACUACUCGAAAGAGUGGCUAAUACCGCAUGAGAUCUACGGAUGAAAGCAGGGGAUCGCAAGACCUUGUGCUACUAGAGCGGCCGAUGGCAGAUGAGGUAGUUGGUGGGAUAAAAGCUUACCAAGCCGACGAUCUGUAGCUGGUCUGAGAGGACGAUCAGCCACACUGGGACUGAGACACGGCCCAGACUCCUACGGGAGGCAUCAGUGGGGAAUUUUGGACAAUGGGCGCAAGCCUGAUCCAGCAAUGCCGCGUGCAGGAUGAAGGCCUUCGGGUUGUAAACUGCUUUUGUACGGAACGAAAAGCCCCGGGUUAAUACCCUGGGGUCAUGACGGUACCGUAAGAAUAAGCACCGGCUAACUACGUGCCAGCCGCCGCCGUAA
rnacentral:rRNA from 1 species